GGGGGGGGGGGGGGGGGGGGGGGGGGGGGGGGGGGGGGGGGGGGGGGGGGGGGGGGGGGGGGGGGGGGGGGGGGGGGGGGGGGUCUCUGCUCAUGGUGCCCCUUUCCGCCCUUCAGCGCAGCCGCCAUUUUGCCGUGAGGGCAGAGGCGUGAGGGCACAGCGCUCUCCCCUCACAGUGCCCCUUUCCGCCCUUCAUUGCAGCCGCCAUUUUGCCGUGAGGGCAGAGGCGUGAGGGCACAGCGCUCUCCCCUCACAGUGCCCCUUUCCGCCCUUCAGCACAGCAUCACAGCCAUCAGCUGAAGGCUGGCUCUAGGCUCUAGGUCUGCUGUGCACCUCAGGGCAAGGCGAUGGACGUUUUUAUGGCACUUUUCAUGGUCCUAUGCACGUUGGGGUUGCUCAGGUGUCCAUGCACACCUGCCAGUCCAAGUGCCUCAGCAGGACCCUUCCUGCACCUCAGGAGGGGCUGAGGUGGAAAAAAGAACACGGUGACCUCAUGGGAAACAUGGAGCCCAGAGCUACUGCAGCUGCAUUUGGCCCCCCUGGAAGGGAAUAACACACAUAAGAGAGGAAGAAAUAGAAAAAGAGACGCAAAAUAUGGAGUAGCUAAAGUGGGUGUUGCAUUCCUUCCACAAAGGAAGCAUGAACCCAUCCUUCGAGGAGUUGCUGAGCCAGGGGAAGCACAGCAUGGCCACCCGGACAAGAGAAGCACUGCCGCCAGCCUGGCAGAGGUGCAGGACAGCAGUGCCCAGGAGGAGCAGGUCCAGGCUGAGAGGAUGCCAGCCCUCAGGGGAAGAAGCCACCGAGGAAAAGCGGGUAACGCUGGGGAAAAGCAGAAAGGAUGGAGUCAUUAUGGAUUCUGAAAGAAGUAAAAACAAACACCCACUACAGAACACUUGGAAGAGCACAGGAGACCCUGCAGCACAGCUCUGCUGUAACAGCCCACUCAUCCCCACAAGCUUUAUCUUUUUGAGUGGAAAAUGUGCUGGCAAUAGAAACAAGCUUGUGUGAGAAAUGCAGGCUGAGCCUCCAGGUAAAGGUAAGUAAGUCAUUGCAUUCCAACAAAAGGAAAUGCACAAUGCUGGACUGAAAAUCCUGGCAGAUUCCUGUUCCCUGAUGUACCCAGUCUUGAGGGAGGUGUCACUCUAGGAAAGCAUUGGUCUCUGUCCUCAUGUACUCAGUCCAUAUUUGAGUUUUUUCAAUCAGCUGUAGAAUUGACAAGAUUUGUAGUGGUUCUUAGAUGCUGCUAGGUAGACUUAAAUUUUUUUUCCAGGCCUAGGGAAAGGAGAUAUUUAGGUCCAAGGAAAGUCAGGCAGGACUCUUAAACAGAUUGCCCAGAUAGUUUGUGGAGUUUCCCUCACUGGAGAUACUCAAGAAUGGUCUGGAUACAAUCCUGUACCAUGUGCUCUGGGAUGCCGCUGAUUGAGCGGGAAAGCUGGACCAGAUGCCCCCACUGUGGUCCCUUCCAACCUGACCCAUUCUG
rnacentral:lncRNA from 1 species